GUGCAGCAGGCGCGAAACUUCGGCAAUGGGCGCAAUCCUGACCGAGCGACGCCGCGUGGAGGACGAAGGCCUUCGGGUUGUAAACUCCUGUCGAGGGGGAGGAAGGGGCAACCUUGACCGAUCCCUGGAGGAAGCACGGGCUAAGUUCGUGCCAGCAGCCGCGGUAAGACGAACCGUGCGAACGUUAUUCGGAAUCACUGGGCUUAAAGCGCGUGUAGGCGGGCCGCCCCGUCGGCUGCUGAAAUCCCCCGGCUCAACCGGGGAAGUGGCACCGAUACGAGCGGCCUCGAGGGGGGUAGGGGGUCUGGAACUUCCGGUGGAGCGGUGAAAUGCGUUGAGAUCGGAAGGAACGCCGUGGCGAAAGCGAGGCCCUGGACCCUUACUGACGCUGAGACGCGAGAGCCAGGGGAGCGAACGGGAUUAGAUACCCGGGUAGU
rnacentral:rRNA from 1 species